rnacentral:rRNA from 1 species
UACGUAGGCAGCAAGCGUUGUUCGGAGUUACUGGGCGUAAAGAGUAUGUAGGCGGUGUCCUAAGUUCGGUGUGAAAUCUCCCGGCUCAACUGGGAGGGUGCGCCGAAGACUGGGAUGCUGGAGUCUCGGAGAGGAACGCGGAAUUCCUGGUGUAGCGGUGAAAUGCGUAGAUAUCAGGAGGAACACCGGUGGCGAAGGCGGGUCUCUGGGCAGUAACUGACGCUGGAGGAGCGAAAGCGUGGGGAGCGAACAGG